rnacentral:rRNA from 1 species
AUGAACGCUAGCGGCAGGCUUAACACAUGCAAGUCGAGGGGCAGCGGGGUAGCAAUACCGCCGGCGACCGGCAAACGGGUGCGGAACACGUACGCAACUUACCCUAAACUGGUGAAUAGCCUUCGGAAACGAAGAUUAAUACACCGUAAAAUAAUUGAGUGGCAUCAUUUGAUUAUAAUAGCUGAGGCGGUUUAGGAUGGGCGUGCGUCCCAUUAGCUAGUUGGUAAGGUAACGGCUUACCAAGGCGACGAUGGGUAACUGGUGUGAGAGCACGACCAGUCACACGGGCACUGAGACACGGGCCCGACUCCUACGGGAGGCAGCAGUGAGGAAUAUUGGUCAAUGGACGCAAGUCUGAACCAGCCAUGCCGCGUGAAGGAUGAAGGCGUUCUGCGUUGUAAACUUCUUUUAUCUGGGAAGAAACCUCAGUUUUCUAAUUGAGCCGACGGUACCAGAGGAAUAAGCACCGGCUAACUCCGU